UACAGAGGGUGCGAGCGUUGUCCGGAAUUACUGGGCGUAAAGGGCGCGUAGGCGGCCUGAUAAGUAGGGGGGUGAAAUUCCGGUGGCUCAACCACGGAACUGCCUUCUAGACUGCCAGGCUUGAGCACGGUAGAGGCAGAUGGAAUUCCCGGUGUAGCGGUGGAAUGCGUAGAGAUCGGGAAGAACACCAGUGGCGAAGGCGGUCUGCUGGGCCGUUGCUGACGCUGGAGGCGCGCAGCGUGGGGAGCAAACAGG
rnacentral:rRNA from 1 species